rnacentral:rRNA from 1 species
UACGUAGGGUGCGAGCGUUGCCCGGAUUUAUUGGGCGUAAAGCGCGUGUAGGCGGUCCGGUAAGUCCGCUGUGAAAGUCGGGGGCUCAACCCUCGGAUGCCGGUGGAUACUGUCGGGCUUGAGUACGGAAGAGGCGAGUGGAAUUCCUGGUGUAGCGGUGAAAUGCGCAGAUAUCAGGAGGAACACCAAUUGCGAAGGCAGCUCGCUGGGACGUUACUGACGCUGAGACGCGAAAGCGUGGGGAGCAAACAGG